rnacentral:hammerhead_ribozyme from 1 species
AUCCAGCUAACGAGUCUCAAACAGGACGAAAUAUACGUCCUGGAU